UUGAAGAAUAGUAGUGUUUCUCAUCGGUUUUGUUUUGUGGAUCCGUUUGAUGUAUCAUAUGUAAACAAGUACAAGCAUGAUGCACGAACACUAGCUUUGGCAAAUAGGCUUGAGAAUAUAUCCCCCGGUCAAUUAGUUAUAUGUCCGUGCAAUAUAAAGGAUCAUUGGAUUCUUACCGUGUUGGAUCCUCACAAAGAGAUAAUUUAUCAUUUUGAUUCUCUCGGUGAAUGUAUGUUUGAUAAUACUUGGAAGACUAUUGUGAACACGGCGAUUUACAUGUUCAAUGCAAAAUUACAAAAAAGAGGCAAGAAACAAAUCACUUGGGAACUCAUGAAG